rnacentral:rRNA from 1 species
UACGUAGGGGCCGAGCGUUGUCCGGAGUUAGUUGGGCGUAAAGCGCGCGCAGGCGGCUUCGCGCGGCCCGCCCGUGAAAGCCCCCGGCUCAACCGGGGAAGGGUUAUGCCAGACUGCUAGUCUUGAGUGCGAGAGAGGAGCGUGGGAAUUCCGGGAUGUAGUGGUGAAAUGCGUAGAGAGUCCGGAGGAACCCCAGGAGGCGAAGGCGGCGCUCUGGCUCGCAACGACGCUC